UACGGAGGGUGCGAGCGUUGUCCGGAAUUACUGGGCGUAAAGGGCGCGUAGGCGGCCGAUCAAGUCAGAUGUGAAAGUCCUGGGCUUAACCUGGGGACUGCAUUUGAUACUGAUUGGCUUGAAUUCGGGAGAGGAUAGCGGAAUUCCCAGUGUAGAGGUGAAAUUCGUAGAUAUUGGGAAGAACACCGGUGGCGAAGGCGGCUAUCUGGACCGACAUUGACGCUGAUGCGCGAAAGCGUGGGGAGCAAACAGG
rnacentral:rRNA from 1 species